rnacentral:rRNA from 1 species
GACGAACGCUGGCGGCGUGCCUAAUACAUGCAAGUCGAGCGGUAAGGCCUCUUCGGAGGUACACGAGCGGCGGACGGCUGAGUAACGCGUAGGAACAUACCCCAAAGUGAGGGGUAACUGCUCGAAAGAGUAGCUAAUACCGCAUGUGAUCUAAGGAUUAAAGCUUCGGCGCUUUGGGAAUGGCCUGCGUAUGAUUAGUUUGUUGGUGAGGUAAUGGCUCACCAAGACUACGAUCAUUAGCUGGUCUGAGAGGAUGAUCAGCCAGACUGGGACUGAGACACGGCCCAGACUCCUACGGGAGGCAGCAGUAGGGAAUCUUCCACAAUGGGCGAAAGCCUGAUGGAGCAACGCCGCGUGCAGGAUGAAGGCCUUCGGGUUGUAAACUGCUUUUAUAUGCGAAGAUUAUGACGGUAGCAUAUGAAUAAGGAUCGGCUAACUCCGUGCCAGCCGCCGCCGUAA